AUGACUCCUCUUCCUGUUCCCGGGAGACGCGGCGAGACAGAAAAGAGGCGCUCGAGGGACGCCAGCACAUUCACCACGAGCCGACCGGCGGCUCCGCGCCGCCCCUGCCGGCCCCAGGCCUUCCCCCCGACAGAGGGGCCCCUGCGGCCGGGAGGCGCGGUGGCGCAGCGGCCGCGGCCGCCUUGGUUCCGGCCCCGCGCUCGGGCUCGGCGCGCAGGGCCCGCCGGGCUCCUGCUCCGCGCGCUGCGGCCGCCGGCUCAGCCCACGAAGCAGAAACGACUCUCGCUCGAAGAGGUCGCAAGGGAAAAUGGCUUCGGGUUUUCCAGUAGACGCUGGAGAACUAACCCCACCCAACUGCCAAGAGCUGGAGAAAAGAGAUUCUUACCAUGGUUGCUGCUUCGCGGCUGCCGAGCAGAUGGCGGAGAAGAGGAGAGGUUUUUGCUUCUUACAGCGCGACUCUUAGGCGGUCGAUGUAAGAGAACCUGCGGCACAUGGGCGGAUGCGGCUGCCUAUAUACAGCUCGGUCACCAUGGGGAUGGACCGGGGCCUUUUCCUGUUGGUCCAGACCCCUCAAUCUGCCCAGAGAAGCCACGACAAGAGAGUGGUGAUUGGUGCAAGCGACAUGGGAUGAGAAAUCUUCAGGUGCCUGUGCUUUUGAACGCGUGCGUAUCCAGCAAAAUCAGAGGAGACCCUGGCUCUGUUUCAAAGCCUGUGAAGCAGGCUCCGUCCCUUGAGUUCAGCACAAAUAAAUGGAGCUGCUAAGGGGAACCGGGUAAGCAUGCUGAUUUUUGUAGUUACAGCCUGUCCCACAUAACUCAUUUACAAGGCCAGCGAGGACCACAAUUUACCAGAACCGAGAACUAUGUAAUUUAAAAUGAGGAAAUUUUGCUCUAUCAGAAACAUGCAAAGACCUUUCAUGGCUUAUAUUCCUGACUCUAUGGGAACAAAAUAUGCCGAAGGGUAAGGAAAAAAGUACAUGGACCAGAGGAUUAAAAUAGCAAAGUGUUAUAAAAAUAAGAGGACUGUAAACCCGGCCCACAUCUGUCAGACCCGUGAACUCGCUUCCUCCCUUCGCUGACUCUCAUUACCAAGGGAUUUGGGAACUAUUUGAGGUUUGGAUAAUUUGGGGAAAGAGCCAUGUAAAGCUGUAGAUCUAAAAAUGGUUCCAUAUUAAUACUUAGAGACAGCAGACAGGGCCCAGAAACGAGGCCCUUAAAACUAGUCUCCCGAGGGAAAGGGGUUGGGGUCGAGUGGAAGGCUGGACUGGAGGAGGCGCGGGCCUCCUGUGUGACCUUGUUAGAUAAGUUACUUAACCUGGGAGCAGUAGCUUCCUCGUCUAUAAAAUGGAGGUAACAAAGUGGAGAGUUUGUGCAUAAUAGAGUAAUUGCGAAGGCGGAACAAGGCAAAGCCCGGACGCUCCCAGUUCAGAGAGGAAAGCCCCUGGUGGUGGGGGGGGAGGUGCUGGGGCUCAAGGGGGUGGGGCAGAAAAGAAGCCGGGGGCCUUCAGAACCCAUGAGACGAAAGGCCUGGAGAAGAACCAUGAGCGAAUUGACUGGGGUGGAGGGGCUGGGAGGGAGCCGCUGGCCUCUAGUCCCGGAAGGCGGAAUUCGGAGAAGCCGCCAGGCUGGGUUUUGGGCUUGAGUUGGUGAUGAGGAGAGGGUUCAGCCUGAAGCCAGGGAAGGAACCAGGCUUGGAAACAAUAAAGAACUUUUUAUGCCAGGACCAAAAGAACGAAAGAAAUGGCCUGAUUUGGUACUAGCAUGGAGUAAAAGGAGUGGAAUAUUGCUAAAUGUUUAAUAACUGUCUGGGGGUUGUCACUAACUUGUAGUAGUCACCAAUUUCCACGAUGCCAGCACACUGCUGAUUUCAGGCUACUAAGGCGGUAUCACCAGCUGACAGAAGUCCUGCAACUCUAACGACUGGCUCCAGCAGGCUCCAGCACUCCAGUGAGUAGAGGGAAGCGCACAAAAGACUCCUGAGAUGGUUCAGAUUCAAGGAGAAGCUCGGGGACUUGAAGUGGGGAGAAACAGAGGAACUGAAAGAGGCCAAAUGCUCUCAGCCACAUUUGCGUAGCAGGAGCCUGUUUCAGUUACUUAACUCGCUGGCUAUAAUUUGUGCACUGAUAUUGCCUUGAAGUACUAUCGUCCUAAUUUUGUGGGGGGGCAGAAAUCAACACUAAGUAUACUUGAAAAUGGCUGGCUCUGUGUCCUGGGAGCAGGAGGAGGGGCAGGUAGAUAGAAAAGCAAAAGGAGGGAAGCGGACUUGGCCCAGUGGUUAGGGCGUCGUCUACCACAUGGGAGGUCCGCGGUUCAAACCCCGGGCCUCCUUGACCCGUGUGCAGCUGGCCCAUGCGCAGCGCUGAUGCGCGCAAGGAGUGCCACCCCACAUAGGGGUGUCCCCUGCAGAGGGGAGCCCCAUGCGCAAGGAGUGCUCCGCAAGGAGUGCUCCGUAAGGAGAGCCGCCCAGAGCAAAAGAAAGUGCAGCCUGCCCAGGAAUGGUGCCGCACACACUUCCGUGCCGCUGACGACAGCAGAAGCAGACAAAGAAACAAGACGCAGCAAAUAGACACAGAGAACAGACAAACGGGGGAGGGGAGGGAAUUAAAUAAAAAAAUAAAUCUUUAAAAAAAAAAAAAGCAAAAGGAGGAAAACUGUCCUGAGAUACACAGGCAAUAAGUAAAUCCCCCAUUGCUGGGGCUAGUGGCAAGAAGCUAUAGUCACAAGGGGAAAAAAAAAACACAAAAAAAACCCUCAGGGCCUUCUACUUUGGGCCAUCUAAAGUUAUAUGAAUAAAUGAAAUGAUUAAAUAAACAUUUUCAUAAACAAAAGAUUUCCCAAGUCCAGAAUAUGGUCCACUUAUUGGAAUAAUAAGAAUGUGGGCUGUUUCUUUCAAUUUUCUGCAAGAGAGUUUUAUGGCUUGGAGGGGACAUGGAAGGAAGGACAAGGGAAUGGCUUUUAAUUACAGGGAAGAGCAGAAGAACUGGGGUAAGCAGGCUGAAGUGACAGGGAGUGAGCCCAGGGGAAGUGAUGUGGGCUAUGGGUGGGAGGCUCUUUGUCUCUUUGGAGAUAACCUAAGCUGUCUGUCCUGACUUGUGGGUAUGGGACUGUAAGAGGCUGCAGUCCUGCCCUUGGUGAGCAUGGCAACAACUCCAGUCCUGGGAGGCCAUUUAGCAAUGCAAACUCCAUAUACAUACCAGUCAGUCCAGAGAAACUCUUACGGUGGUGAUGCCGAAACUUAAGGGAACUUGGACUUGGCCUCGAAUAGGAAAUAUAAUAUAGCCUGUGCAUAAAUUCAAAACCAUCUAAUUCUGUAUCCAAGUGUGCCUAGUCUCUAGAAAUCCAGUUAAGUGAUAAGGGCUUUGAAUGUUCAGAAAAGAUGUAACACUGAAUGUGUAUUCAAAGUUGCAUCCAGAUGGAAUGUGGGCAAGAUGCUAAUUCAAACUCACCUGAAAUGUGGGUGAUAUGUUAAUUCAAAACCUACCUGGUACUCAGGCAAAGACUUAACUAACAAAGAAAGUAGUUUUCUUUGAUAAAAGCACCAUUUGACUCCCCACCCUGUAUAAAAGGAACUUGAAAAUCUUGUUCCGGGGGCUCGGGUUUGAAACAGGAAGCUCCCGAGUCCCACCGGCCGUCAAUAAAUCAUUUUUCCUUCUCAAAAUCAUUCCUUAGUCCUGGCCUUUCUAUAUGCAAAUAACUGAACCUCUCUCAACUUCUACAACAGAAGCACAACUGUGCUCAGCUGCCCAGGGGGUCACUGUGAGAAAACGACUCAGCGCACUGUACUGUUAAGGGUACAGAAAGCAGAUCAGAACCAGCCAGAUAACAUCGCGGUGGAAAGAAACUGCAAAAUCUCAAAGAUGAAAACCAGUCUUCUAUGGUAAUGUCCCAGAAUGGAGCUAACUUUUCACAUACAAAGACCUGAUGGAAGGGAAGUGGGCCAAAACACUGUGUUUAGCUCGGGGAGGAAGAGGACUUUGAAAAGAAUUUGCAAGAAAGUUAUAAAAGUUGUAAAUAUUUGUGGGAGAAAAAAAAAGCAGUAAGUAAAAGUUAAAGGCUCUAAGGAUUAUUUUUCCCAGAAAAGAAAAUAUAUAUUAUCUAGAAGAUAAUGUCCUGCUAUUUUGUAUUUACAAGGGCUAAAGAGAAGAAAACAAGACUGCCUUGAAAUACACAGAUUUUAAAAAAACGUUUAUUGUUAAUUGCGUGGUUGCACUUAGCUGCAAGGAGUCCCAGCUGUCCUUAUAGGUCUUGAAAUAGGACAAAUUCUCUUUUUUCUUGUUAGAUUAAUUGUAGCCUUACCUAAAGAGGACAAAUUCAAUAAAUUCUCUAGGACUUUCUUUCCCUAAGAACCAGAAUCAGAAACAGGCUGACAAAGGGCCUAGAGGUAAGAGGUAACUUGUCCUUUUGGGCAUUUGUUCUGGGCUCUCUCUCUUUUGGUUUAAGGUAAAUUAUUUCAUGUCUCAAGACCUUAGUUCCCACCAUUCCAUAGUAAAUACGUUUGUCAAAAACAACUCCUUGACUACUCUCCCAAAGCACUGUUGGAGUAAAAAAUACUUUGCUAUAAAUUACCAAAUGAGCACAAAAUAUUCCUGUAUACCAUUGUCCUGGUUUGUCUUUUGUGGACCCCAGAAAAUUAUGUUCUUUAAGCUAACCCAUACCUAUGCCUGUAAAUGCAGUGCAGAUGGGGCCUUUUGAUUAGAUUCAGUUAAGGCACCUUUGAUUAGAUCACUUGAUUAGAUCAGCAUAGGGCUUUGCUUGGACUAGGCAGUGAGGCAUGAUCCAGGUUGUGUCUCUGCCCUCUUGGGUCUUAUAUAAGCUGAGAACUAGAAGCAGAAACACACAGUGAGAAAGACAGCUGUCUUUUAGACCCUGCCACAUGAAAGAGGACUCCAGGGUUAGUAACAGCUGAGAGAGGGGCCAAAAGCUGGUAUCAGCAAGAAGCUGAAAGAGGCCCCAGAAGAGAUGGCCAUAUGCCUGAUCAUCCACAGCAGAACUCCAGGAGAAGGUGAUCCUGAAGGGGAAGGCAGGGACUUUGGCAGAGAUUGGCUACCAUCUUGCCUUGCCAUGUGGCAGGACUCUAGGAUCUGCUGGCAGACAACCUUUGGUGAGAAA
ensembl:lincRNA